UGGGGAAUAUUGCACAAUGGGCGCAAGCCUGAUGCAGCCAUGCCGCGUGUAUGAAGAAGGCCUUCGGGUUGUAAAGUACUUUCAGCGGGGAGGAAGGGAGUAAAGUUAAUACCUUUGCUCAUUGACGUUACCCGCAGAAGAAGCACCGGCUAACUCCGUGCCAGCAGCCGCGGUAAUACGGAGGGUGCAAGCGUUAAUCGGAAUUACUGGGCGUAAAGCGCACGCAGGCGGUUUGUUAAGUCAGAUGUGAAAUCCCCGGGCUCAACCUGGGAACUGCAUCUGAUACUGGCAAGCUAGAGUCUCGUAGAGGGGGGUAGAAUUCCAGGUGUAGCGGUGAAAUGCGUAGAGAUCUGGAGGAAUACCGGUGGCGAAGGCGGCCCCCUGGACGAAGACUGACGCUCAGGUGCGAAAGCGUGGGGAGCAAACAGG
rnacentral:rRNA from 1 species